CAAUAGCGUAUAUUAAAGUUGUUGCAGUUAAAAAGCUCGUAGUUGAAUUUUUGCUUGCCGCCGAUGUUGGAACUUCCGUACGUUCGGCGGCGUGCAUCCUUGGGUGGAACCUGUGUGGCAUUAGGUUGUCGUGCAGGGGAUGCUCAUCGUUUACUGUGAAAAAAUUAGAGUGUUCAAAGCAGGCUUACGCCGUUGAAUAUAUUAGCAUGGAAUAAUAAGAUAGGACCUUGGUACUAUUUUGUUGGUUUGCGCACCGAGGUAAUGAUUAACAGGGACAGUUGGGGGUAUUCGUAUUCCAUUGUCAGAGGUGAAAUUCUUGGAUUUCUGGAAGACGAACUACUGCGAAAGCAUUUACCAAGGAUGUUUUCAUUAA
rnacentral:rRNA from 1 species